GAGUUUGAUCAUGGCUCAGAACGUACGCUGGCGGCACGCCUAAUACAUGCAAGUCGAACGAGGUAGCAAUACUUAGUGGCAGACGGGUGAGUAACUUGUAGGUAUCUUCCCUUUGGUGAGGAAUAACACGAGGAAACUUGUGCUAAUACCUCAUAAGUCUUUACGGAGAAAGCUUUAUGCGCCAAUGGAUGAGCCUGCACUUGAUUAGUUUGUUGGUGGGGUAAUGGCCUACCAAGACAAUGAUCAAUAGCUGAUUUGAGAGGAUGAUCAGCCACAUUGGGACUGAGACACGGCCCAAACUCCUACGGGAGGCAGCAGUAGGGAAUCUUGCACAAUGGGGGAAACCCUGAUGCAGCGAUGCCGCGUGAGUGAAGAAGGCCUUUGGGUUGUAAAGCUCUUUCGUCGGGGAAGAAAAUGACUGUACCCGAAUAAGAAGGUCCGGCUAACUUCGUGCCAGCAGCCGCGGUAAUACGAAGGGACCUAGCGUAGUUCGGAAUUACUGGGCUUAAAGAGUUCGUAGGUGGUUAAAAAAGUUGGUGGUGAAAUCCCAGAGCUUAACUCUGGAACUGCCAUCAAAACUUUUUAGCUAGAGUAUGAUAGAGGAAAGCAGAAUUUCUAGUGUAGAGGUGAAAUUCGUAGAUAUUAGAAAGAAUACCAAUUGCGAAGGCAGCUUUCUGGAUCAUUACUGACACUGAGGAACGAAAGCAUGGGUAGCGAAGAGGAUUAGAUACCCUCGUAGUCCAUGCCGUAAACGAUGUGUGUUAGACGUUGGAAAUUUAUUUUCAGUGUCGCAGCGAAAGCAAUAAACACACCGCCUGGGGAGUACGACCGCAAGGUUAAAACUCAAAUGAAUUGACGGGGACCCGCACAAGUAGUGGAGCAUGUGGUUUAAUCCGAAGAUACGCGCAGAACCUUACCAACACUUGACAUGUUCGUCGCGACUUUAAGAGAUUAAAGUUUUCGGUUCGGCCGGACGAAACACAGGUGCUGCAUGGCUGUCGUCAGCUCGUGUCGUGAGAUGUUGGGUUAAGUCCCGCAACGAGCGCAACCCUCACUUUUAGUUGCCAUCAUUUAGUUGGGCACUCUGAAAGAACUGCCAGUGAUAAGCUGGAGGAAGGUGGGGAUGACGUCAAGUCCUCAUGGCCCUUACGUGUUGGGCUACACACGUGCUACAAUGGCAUUUACAAUAGGAAGCAAAACGGCGACGUUAAGCAAAUCCUAAAAAAAUGCCUCAGUUCGGAUUGUACUCUGCAACUCGAGUACAUGAAGCUGGAAUUACUAGUAAUCACGGAUCAGCGCGCCGCGGUGAAUACGU
rnacentral:rRNA from 1 species